AUUGAACGCUGGCGGCAGGCCUAACACAUGCAAGUCGAGCGGAUGAAGGGAGCUUGCUCCUGGAUUCAGCGGCGGACGGGUGAGUAAUGCCUAUGAAUCUGCCUGGUAGUGGGGGAUAACGUCCGGAAACGGGCGCUAAUACCGCAUACGUCCUGAGGGAGAAAGUGGGGAUCUUCGGACCUCACGCUAUCAGAUGAGCCUAGGUCGGAUUAGCUAGUUUGUGGGGUAAAGGCCUACCAAGGCGACGAUCCGUAACUGGUCUGAGAGGAUGAUCAGUCACACUGGAACGGAGACACGGUCCAGACUCAUACGGGAGGCAGCAGUGGGGAAUAUUGGACAAUGGGCGAAAGCCUGAUCCAGCCAUGCCGCGUGUGUGAAGAAGGUCUUCGGAUUGUAAAGCACUUUAAGUUGGGAGGAAGGGCAGUAAGUUAAUACCUUGCUGUUUUGACGUUACCAACAGAAUAAGCUCCGGCUAACUUAGUG
rnacentral:rRNA from 1 species